rnacentral:rRNA from 1 species
GACGAACGCUGGCGGCGUGCCUAAUACAUGCAAGUAGGACGCAGUUGCGAACGGGUGAGUAACGCGUAGGUAACUGCCUAUGAGAGGGGGAUAACUAUUGUAAACGAUAGCUAAUACCGCAUACUAGUAGAUGGACCUGCGUUGUAUUAGCUAGUAGGUAGGGUAAUGGCCUACCUAGGCGGCGAUACAUAGGCGACCUGAGGAGGUGGACGGCCAAACUGGGACUGAGGCAAGGGCCAAACUGCUAAGGGAGGGAACAGUAGGGAAUCAUCGGCAAAUGGGGGCAACCUGACCGCGCAACGGCGGGGGAGGGGAAGAGGGUUUCGGAUCGGAAAGCUCUGUUGUUAAGGGAGCGGUACUUAACCAAGAAGGAACGGCUAACUACGUGCCAGCAGCCGCGGUAAUUC